rnacentral:siRNA from 1 species
GGCAUACUGAUGCCUAUUUGGCUG